rnacentral:rRNA from 1 species
AAACCGCAUGAUUUGAUUAUCAAAGAUUUAUCGCUGAAAGAUGAGCUCGCGUCUGAUUAGCUAGUUGGUAAGGUAACGGCUUACCAAGGCGACGAUCAGUAGCCGGACUGAGAGGUUGAUCGGCCACAUUGGGACUGAGACACGGCCCAGACUCCUACGGGAGGCAGCAGUGGGGAAUAUUGCACAAUGGAGGAAACUCUGAUGCAGCUAUGCCGCGUGAGGGAAGAAGGUUUUAGGAUUGUAAACCUCUGUCUUCAGGGACGAAAAAAGACGGUACCUGAGGAGGAAGCUCCGGCUAACUACGUGCCAGCAGCCGCGGUAAUACGUAGGGAGCGAGCGUUGUCCGGAAUUACUGGGUGUAAAGGGAGCGUAGGCGGGAUCGCAAGUCAGAUGUGAAAACUAUGGGCUUAACCCAUAAACUGCAUUUGAAACUGUGGUUCUUGAGUGAAGUGGAGGUAAGCGGAAUUCCUAGUGUAGCGGUGAAAUGCGUAGAUAUUAGGAGGAACAUCAGUGGCGAAGGCGGCUUACUGGGCUUUAACUGACGCUGAGGCUCGAAAGCGUGGGGAGCAAACAGGAUUAGAUACCCUGGUAGUCCACGCCGUAAACGAUGAUUACUAGGUGUGGGGGGACUGCCCCCUUCCGUGCCGCAGCAAACGCAAUAAGUAAUCCACCUGGGGAGUACGACCGCAAGGUUGAAACUCAAAGGAAUUGACGGGGGCCCGCACAAGCAGUGGAGUAUGUGGAUUAAUUCGAAGCAACGCGAAGAACCUUACCAGGUCUUGACAUCGUAUGCAUAGCUCAGAGAUGAGUGAAAUCUCUUCGGAGACAUAUAGACAGGUGGUGCAUGGUUGUCGUCAGCUCGUGUCGUGAGAUGUUGGGUUAAGUCCCGCAACGAGCGCAACCCUUACUGUUAGUUGCUACGCAAGAGCACUCUAGCAGGACUGCCGUUGACAAAACGGAGGAAGGUGGGGAUGACGUCAAAUCAUCAUGCCCCUUAUGACCUGGGCCUCACACGUACUACAAUGGCUGUCAACAGAGGGAAGCAAAGCCGCGAGGUGGAGCGAACCCCUAAAAGCAGUCUUAGUUCGGAUUGUAGGCUGCAACCCGCCUACAUGAAGUCGGAAUUGCUAGUAAUCGCAGAUCAGCAUGCUGCGGUGAAUACGUUCCCGGGCCUUGUACACACCGCCCGUCACGCCAUGGGAGUCGGUAACACCCGAAGCCUGUAGUCUAACCGCAAGGAGGACGCAGUCGAAGGUGGGAUUGAUGACUGGGGUGAAGUCGUAACAAGGUA